AUGAUUUAUUUUUUGCAAUUAAAGCUUGAAACACAAGAAGCCUGGUUAGCUCAAUCGGUAGAGCAUUUGACUCUUAAUCACUAUAAGGUCAAUCAAAAGGUUGCGGGUUCGAGCCCCGCAUCGGGCUUUCUUUUUUAUUUACUGCGCAAACAGCUCUGCAAAUAUGGCCACUUUUCUCUACUUUUAGCCAGAUCAAACCAAAAUCUUGAUUUUUGA
rnacentral:tRNA from 1 species